CCAGACUCCUACGGGAGGCAGCAGUGCGGAAUAUUGGUCACUGGACGCAAGUCUUCCCCAGCCAAUUCGCUUGCAGGAUGACGGCACUCCGGGUUUUCCCCUGCUUUUAGUUUUGAAUAAAAGGGGGCUCGUGAGCCCCUUCUUGUAUGUCCCCUCAGAAAAAUUCCCUUCUAAUUCCUUGCCCGCAGCCGCUUUCCUACGGAAGUUCCUUUCGUUAUCCGUAGUUAUUGGGUUUAAAGGGAGCGUAGGCCGGCGGUUAAGUCAGCGGUGAAAGUCCGCGGCGCAACCGUUGAAUUGCAGUUGAAACUGGAGGCCUUGAGUGCACACAGGGAGGCCGGAAUUCAGGGUGUAGCGGUGAAAUGCUUAGAGAGAAGGAAGAACUCCGAUCGCGAAGGCAAGUGUCCGGGGUGCAACUGACGCUGAGGCUCGAAAGUGCGGGUAGCACACAGGAUUAGAUACCCUAGUAG
rnacentral:rRNA from 1 species